rnacentral:lncRNA from 1 species
CUUCUACAGUAAGCGAAUUCCAUCCGAACUUCUAUUGCAAGCGGACUUCAGCCAAGCUUCUACAAUAAGCGGUCUCCAUCCAGGCUUUCAUGGAAACCGAUCUUCAUUUGAGCUUCUACAAUAAGCGGUCUCCAUCUGGGCUUCCACGGCAAUCGGUCUCCAUCCAAGCUUCUAUAAUAAGUGAUCUCCAUCCGGGCUUCCACGACAACCGAUCUCCAUCCGAGCUUCUACAGUAAGCGACCUCCUUCCAAACUUCUGCAAGAAUCGGACUCCGUCUGAACUUCUACAGUGGAUGGAUU